AAAGUCCGGGGCCUUAACCCCUGGAUCUGCGGUGGGUACGGGCAGACUAGAGUGAUGUAGGGGAGACUGGAAUUCCUGGUGUAGCGGUGAAAUGCGCAGAUAUCAGGAGGAACACCGAUGGCGAAGGCAGGUCUCUGGGCAUUAACUGACGCUGAGGAGCGAAAGCAUGGGGAGCGAACAGGAUUAGAUACCCUGGUAGUCCAUGCCGUAAACGUUGGGCACUAGGUGUGGGGAACAUUCCACGUUUUCCGCGCCGUAGCUAACGCAUUAAGUGCCCCGCCUGGGGAGUACGGCCGCAAGGCUAAAACUCAAAGGAAUUGACGGGGGCCCGCACAAGCGGCGGAGCAUGCGGAUUAAUUCGAUGCAACGCGAAGAACCUUACCAAGGCUUGACAUGGACUGGAUCGCCGCAGAGAUGUGGUUUCCCUUCGGGGCUGGUUCACAGGUGGUGCAUGGUUGUCGUCAGCUCGUGUCGUGAGAUGUUGGGUUAAGUCCCGCAACGAGCGCAACCCUCGUUCCAUGUUGCCAGCGGGUUAUGCCGGGGACUCAUGGGAGACUGCCGGGGUCAACUCGGAGGAAGGUGAGGACGACGUCAAAUCAUCAUGCCCCUUAUGUCUUGGGCUUCACGCAUGCUACAAUGGCCGGUACAAAGGGUUGCGAUACUGUGAGGUGGAGCUAAUCCCAAAAAGCCGGUCUCAGUUCGGAUUGGGGUCUGCAACUCGACCCCAUGAAGUCGGAGUCGCUAGUAAUCGCAGAUCAGCAACGCUGCGGUGAAUACGUUCCCGGGCCUUGUACACACCGCCCGUCAAGUCAUGAAAGUUGGUAACACCCGAAGCCGGUGGACGCUAUACC
rnacentral:rRNA from 1 species